rnacentral:rRNA from 1 species
AUUGAACGCUGGCGGCAGGCCUAACACAUGCAAGUCGAGCGGAUGAAGGGGGCUUGCUCCUGGAUUCAGCGGCGGACGGGUGAGUAAUGCCUAGGAAUCUGCCUGGUCGUGGGGGAUAACGUCCGGAAACGGGCGCUAAUACCGCAUACGUCCUGAGGGAGAAAGUGGGGGAUCUUCGGACCUCACGCUAUCAGCUGAGCCUAGGUCGGAUUAGCUAGUUGGUGGGGUAAAGGCCUACCAAGGCGACGAUCCGUAACUGGUCUGAGAGGAUGAUCAGUCACACUGGAACUGAGACACGGUCCAGACUCCUACGGGAGGCAGCAGUGGGGAAUAUUGGACAAUGGGCGAAAGCCUGAUCCAGCCAUGCCGCGUGUGUGAAGAAGGUCUUCGGAUUGUAAAGCACUUUAAGUUGGGAGGAAGGGCAGUAAGUUUAUACCUUGCUGUUUUGACGUUACCAACAGAAUAAGCACCGGCUAACUUCGUG